AGUAGUAGAAUUUUCACCAAAUUACAUUAUAUUAAUAACUGCCGGUUUACCGGCUAUGACAAUAAACACGUUAUGAAAUAGACGAUACGGACCCGGGGGCGGUACCCGGCAGCUCCACCAGCCUUCGCUCGCUACGCGAGCUACGGCUCGGCAAGCCAGUCCAACUACCACAGCACAAGCAGUGUUAGUAUAACAGGACGAAGGCUGUCGCGUCGAAGCCCGCAAGGGCGGAGACGGAUUGUGAGAAAUUAAAGACGGUCUUCAUUAGGCAGUCUUUUCCGUUAUGGGGCUGAAAUAGGAUCGACGUGCGUGAUAAAGAUAACGCUUUUGUCCGGCAUGAUACCACCGUUACCGGGUCAUUUACUAAGUGCCAACGACAACGUUGCACCAGUCGCUUUAGCAGCCUAAUAGCUGACUAACGACGCGGUUUUGGGUGAUGAACCGGGCAACAGAAUCAUCACCCG
rnacentral:tmRNA from 1 species